GUCGGGAAUCUUGGACAAUGGGGGAAACCCUGAUCCAGCCACGCCGCGUGGGUGAUGGAGGCCUUCGGGUCGUAAAGCCCUGUCGGAGGGGAAGAAACGGUUUAAGGAUAAUACCCUUAGAUCUUGACGGUACCCUCGGAGGAAGCACCGGCUAACUACGUGCCAGCAGCCGCGGUAAUACGUAGGGUGCUAGCGUUGCUCGGAAUUACUGGGCGUAAAGGACGUGUAGGCGGCCUUGCAAGCGGGAUGUGAAAACCCCUGGCUCAACCAGGGAAGUGCAUUCCGAACUGCUUGGCUUGAGUCCGAGAGAGGGCGGUGGAAUUCCCGGUGGAACGGUGAAAUGUGUAGAUAUCGGGAGGAACACCUGCGGCGAAGGCGGCCGCCUGGCUCGGUACUGACGCUAAAGCGUGAAAGCGUGGGUAGCAAACAGGAUUAGAAACCCCUGUAGUCC
rnacentral:rRNA from 1 species